UGAGGCCGGGACUUGGGGUGAACCCGGGUGAAGAAGUGGACGGGGCUUCCGGCAAAGGGGCGCGUGCUGCUUCAGCUGCCACUCAGGACCUGGGACUCAGACUCCGGACCUGGGACGCUGGAUCUCCGCUCCUGGACUGGCUCUUUCUCUCAGCUGCCGGACCCCGAAUUUAAAUCAGUACAUCUGUCCUCCCCAGACCGUAAGAGGAUGGUUAACUUCUCUUUCCCGAUUCCGCCCCUCACUGCCAGUCACCAGGAGUUAGUUCAGGUGCCAUCCAUUAGCUAGUGACCAGUGACAUCCAUUAUGCAUGGCCAUGAAUAUUUAUCUAGUGCCUUAUACCUGUACCAGAGAGGAUAGGAAAAGAGGAGUUACAAAGAAGCUUUUCCCCCACACCAGAUGACCAGCUCAGCUGAAGAAACCAGGUGGACCCAUCUUCAGUACACUGUUGAACUUCUGUCCGAAGUCAAGGUGAUAACUUUCAAUAUUAUAACUUUGCAUAUAAAUAUUUUCUUAGAUACGUUUUAUAAAUGCUUUGUCAGAUUCAAGAAUUUUAUUUUCCUAUUACCUACGAUUUUUUUAAGAUCAUUAAUGGCUGUAGGAUUUUAUUAUAUUCUUUUUCUGAAUUUUUUGAGAUGAUCAGCUUUUGAGUACUUCUUUUAAUAUGGUGAAAUAAAUUAAUUUUUAAAUGUUAAACCAACUCUGUAUUCCCAGAAUAAAACCAAUUUGAUCAUGAUACAGUAUUAUUUUUUCAUAUACUAUUUGCUUUGACAAUAUUUGUUAAAAAUUUAUAUAUCUUUAUGAGAAAAAUUUGCCUGUAAUUUUCCAUUCUAGUUAUGACUUGUCAGGUUUUAUUGUUAAAGCUAGCCUAAUUCCUCACAUAUUUGGAAGAGUUCAUUGUGAAAUCAUUAAGACCUGGUGAUUUUUCACCUGUUUUCUUGAAAAUAUUUAUUAUGGAUUACUAAUGCAUGGGUUCAAUAUCUGAAUCAUCUGUGGGUCUGUUUAUUUUCCCUUUUUUCUCUUUGUUUUUAG